CGCAGGAUGUCGUGCUGCCAGAGGCCCUUCCAGCUGCUGGAAGCAGUGGGCCUUGCCAUUUACUCCUGUUUACAGAAAUGGGAAUUUGCAUGAUGAAAAUAACCUGGGACAGAUUUUGAUUUUACUGCUGUUGGCACGGAGCUUGGAAAAAAAUGGUGCAUAGUCAAUUACUGGAAUUUUAAAACACAAAUAAUAUUUUAUGCGAUCAGCACUUUGGCUCAAGGCCUGGGCAUCGUGCUCCAACAGCACUUAUGAAAGGAACAAGCCAUUGAUUGUGCUGCCUGCUUCACACAGGAGCCUGUGGGCAGGUGCAGCUUUUGUUGACCUUAGAAAACAGUUCCCUUGGCUGGUGGCUUAACCCAUCAGGUCUGGGCUGGAAACAAGCCUCAGACAUGUGAACCCUGCCAGUUGGGACACUUCCCUUCCCUCACUCCCCCUCCUCCACAUUUCCCACAAUACACAGCUACAUCUUGUCCUCCUCUCUUUAUGGGCCAAGAUAUUCACAGCUCACCUUCUCCAACAGUAAUUGUUAAACAACCUUGGCAACGAACGGGUUAGCAUAUUGAAGCAAUGACCUAUUAACAAGUCUCCACUGUCCACUAUCAUGUGACCACAUUCCCAGAAAUGCUGAAUCUGGAAAGCAGGUUUCCUGGAAGGCCCUUCUAGAGGUAAAGGACCAUAAACUCAGCAACAGCCGGCCUGCCUAAAGGUGUGGUGCCGGGUACACAAGCGUUUUAAUCCUUGCUCCUAGGCAUUGAGCAGAGCUCCCACGGCGGUGGGUGUGGUACAGAAGCCAAGAAAGCAAGUCUGGUGACUUCACUCCUUUCCCUAAAGGACCACACCAGGAAAAAUACCACCAAGCAUCCAUCCUCCUCAGCCUUUUUUUUAUUGAGGGGGGAAAGAAAAUACCCAAUGGGCAACCAAGAGGCUGUGUUCCACUCCUAUUCUUUAGGGAUCACUUGGGGAGGCCUGUUGACAUGACUAUUAUUCAGAAUAGACACAGAACCUCAUAAUGGAAGACAGAUAAGAAGUCAGAGACUAUGUGGUCCUUGGCAACCCUUGCUUGGAUAAGAAGUUCCAGAAUCCCUCAGCCAUUAUGUCAAAUAAAAUUCUGGAAUAUGUAGUUUGAAAAAGUGACAUUCUCAAGCUCUCAUUUAUAAGCAUUAUUCAGUAUGGGAAAGGGAAGGAAAGGGGAGUGUGUUUCUCAUCGUAAUAACUUAAGGACUUCAGAAAGAUUCAUAGAAUCAAAGUUGGAAGAGGACACAAGGGCCAUCAGCCCCCGCGCCCCCUGCAAUGCAAGAACACACAAUCAAGAAUGCAUCUAUAAUGUAGAAGGAAUGCGUGCCUUUCAGUCAGGAUCCAGCUGUGUCAUGGCACUGGGUAAGCUAAAUUCCUGCUGGCUGCUACUUAAUGGACUGAAGGGUGGAACAUCAGUUAGAGACCAGAUUGCGCUACUGGCAUUGAAAACAAGGGUCUAAAUGGAGGUGGGCAUGCAUCAUAGGAGACUGUUUCAAGGAACACUGAGAAGAUGGCAGGACAGCACAAGAUGAGAGGAAUCUGAAUAUUUCGUCUUUACUGGUGACACCAGGAAAAAUACAUCAGCAUGCCGCAACAGAUGCUUCCACUUUAUCCCCUUCUGCCAUUGCACACCAAACCCUUUUUCCUCUGUAAAAUAUAUGCUGAAACUGGGACUCAAUCAGAA